AUUCAAAUAUCUUAUAUUUAGAGUUUAAUAUUGAAAAUAUUAAUGAAAUUUUUUAAAAAUUUUUGAGUA
rnacentral:tRNA from 1 species